GACAGAGGUCCCAAGCGUUGUUCGGAUUCACUGGGCGUAAAGGGUGCGUAGGCGGUCGGGUAAGUCUGAUGUGAAAUCUCGCAGCUUAACUGUGAAACUGCAUUGGAUACUAUCCGGCUAGAGGAAUGGAGGGGAGACUGGAAUUCUUGGUGUAGCAGUGAAAUGCGUAGAUAUCAAGAGGAACACCGGUGGCGAAGGCGGCCAACUGGACGAAUACUGACGCUGAGACACGAAAGCGUGGGGAGCAAACAGG
rnacentral:rRNA from 1 species